rnacentral:misc_RNA from 1 species
GAUGAAGAACGUAGCGAAAUGCGAUAAGUAAUGUGAAUUGCAGAAUUCAGUGAAUCAUCGAAUCUUUGAACGCAUCUUGCGCUCCUUGGUAUUCUGAGGAGCAUGCCUGUUAGAGUGUCAUUAAAUUCUCAACUACACUGACUUUGAAUUGGUGUGGCUUGGAUUUGGGGGGAAAAUUGUUGUGGGCUUUUUGUAUAGUCUGCUCCCCUGAAAUUGAUUAGCGGUACCUUUGUGGAACUGUCUACAGGUGUGAUAAUUAUCUACAUCUUAGACAUCUGCUGGAAUGCUGCUUUCUAAACCUUACUUGUAUUGACAAUCUUGACCUCAAAUCAGGUAGGACUACCCGCUGAACUUAAGCAUAUCAAUAAGCGGAGGA